rnacentral:rRNA from 1 species
GUUACAAGGUAUCUUAUCCUGAAUACAUAGGGGUAAGAAGCGAACGCGGGGAACUGAAACAUCUAAGUACCCGUAGGAAAGGACAUCAACCGAGACUCCGUCAGUAGCGGCGAGCGAACGCGGACCAGGCCAGUGGCAUGGUUAAGUAAAGUGGAACGAUCUGGAAAGUUCGGCCGUAGCGGGUGAUAGCCCCGUACACGUAAUCCUUGACUAUGUCCUAGAGUAAGGCGGGACACGUGAAAUCCUGUCUGAACGUGGGGGGACCACCCUCCAAGCCUAAGUACUCGUGCAUGACCGAUAGCGAACAAGUACCGUGAGGGAAAGGUGAAAAGCACCCCGACAAGGGGAGUGAAAUAGUACCUGAAACCGAAUGCCUACAAACAGAUGGAGCUCAAGGUUCGUCCUGGGUGACAUCGUACCUUUUGUAUAAUGGGUCAGCGACUUAGUCUGGCGAGCAAGCUUAAGCCGAUAGGUGGAGGCGUAGCGAAAGCGAGUCUGAACAGGGCGUUCAGUUCGUCGGAUUAGACCCGAAACCGAGUGAUCUAGCCAUGAGCAGGUUGAAGGUGCGGUAACACGUACUGGAGGACCGAACCCACUUAUGUUGA